UGAAUGGUGGCAACGGCAGCAAAACCCCCAUGAUUCCAAGGCCAGGGGCGCUUGCCUUGUGGAAGCUGGGGAGGAAUUGUUACUUUAUAUGUGUUGUGUUGAUCACUUGAGGGAUACUUCUCCUGAGUGUCUCGGAGUCCUUCCAUACCAUCCAUUGUGGCGCACAGAAACAGGCUCUUGGGGCUCAACUUUCUCCUUCUCUAUCAUCCUGGUCUUGGGCCUGGACAGCACCACCAGUGAGUGCUUGAGGCACCCACUGGGCUGCAGGCCUUGUCCCUUGGCCGUGCGCUGUGGCCUCCUCGGUGCCAUCUUACCCCUGCUGUGCUGCCCACUGUGGGGUAGGGGUUGGGCUCUCAAGCAACACGGACCCUUCUUCCCUCGCCCCCUCCCCCAAAGGGACGUGACUUUCUUUCUGGACUGUUUGUAUUGAAACAGAGUGGUGUCAAAUAAAGCCUCGACAGGGCCCUGGGCCA
rnacentral:lncRNA from 1 species